GAUAUGCAUUAUUAUCGGUUCCUCUAAAAUCCUUAUAUACAACUACUUUAUGUCACUAUAUAUUUCUCAUAAUUGCAUAUGUAUAAGUUCAUAAUUGCAUAUGUACUAAAAAUAGAACCGCCCAUCUCGUUUAUUUGAAAAACAAUUAAUACAGGAACUUGAUCCACCCCUAUGACGAGAUAUGUGCGAUAUUUAUAAAACGGGAUGAAAUAAACUUGUAAAAUACCUGAAGUCAUUGGCAAGUUCAGGCAACGUUACUUAACGACAGAUCCCUUUGCUGAUACAAAUAUUCUGCACGAGCAUGAAUAAGGUUUUCGUUUGUAUUUAAAGUAUCUAUACCUUCAUAUUCACAAGGCAUUAUUUGUAGCAUAAUGGAUUAUCGGAAGCCCCAUUUGAAGAUUAUGCUAGGUAUAACCUAUAAGUUUCAGCCUUUUACGAAGAGAAAUAUGUUUCGUACAACAUAUGUCGUAUUGUCGAAAUUGUGCCACGAUACAAAACAAUAACAUAUUGUAAACUCGUUGACAAUAAAGGAUACAAAUUGUCGUAGCACUUAACCAUAGUUUUGCAUGAUUGAUUUUAAGAAUUGAUAAUUCGUAACAGGUCUUACAUACUAGGCAUUGACCAAAUUACUUAAAUAGAUGGCUACAAUAUGUACGUUAACUAAUAAAAAACACCUCUUGCCCUUAAAUUUGCAAUAAAACUAUGCUUUCAUUGCUUAAACUUCGUUUCUAAAAGAGGAAGAAACUUCUUGGAUGCAGGUCAGAGAAGCGUAACGAAGUCUUUGAAAAAUUAGAUUAUGUAUGC